UGUUUGUCCCUAGAUCCUGUGUUGCCUACCUUCUGAAAGGUACUCGCGUGGCUUGUCGGACUUUAUCCGUUCCAACUGCUUUUGCUGGUUGCGAAGGGCUUUUGAGGUGAAAUACGUGGCUGCCCGUUUAGUCUUGCUCUAUGCUGACUAUUUUGGUGCACAUGUACUAAUCGUUUUCUUGGAUGCGGUGCAUGAUGCGAACGUGGGUUUUUCCCCAAUGCGUCCCUUAUCGUUUGGUUGCCUAAGAUGAUGCUUGCCCUCGUGCUUUUGCUUUGCCACACCCUAGUGGGUCCAAAGCUUGCAUGAUGUGCAGA
rnacentral:misc_RNA from 1 species